rnacentral:RNase_P_RNA from 1 species
GCGGAUGGUCGGAUGGCCGCGGGGGGUAAUCCCCCGAGGAAAGUCCGGGCUCCACAAGGCAAGGGUGCCGGGUAACGCCCGGCCGGGGCAACCCGAGGGAAAGCGCCACAGAAAACAGACCGCCCGGCCCGCGUGGCCGGGUAAGGGUGAAACGGUGGGGUAAAAGCCCACCGCGGGACGGGCAACCGGACCGGCACGGCAAGCCCCACCCGGAGCAAUGCCGAAUAGGGACCUCGCGCGGCGGCGUGAUCCGACACGGAUAUCCCCGCAGGGCCGCCUUGGCCCGAGGUCCGGGUUGGCAGCUCGAGCCCCGUGCGCAAGCGCGCGGGCCAGAUGAAUGGCCAUCGACGGGGGCACGCGCCCCCCGAACAGAACCCGGCUUACAGACCAUCCGCAUCA